GCAUCAAUAGAAAGCUAACAAAAAACUACAUAUGAAACAUUUAAAUGGUUAGUUGGGAUUUUCAAGCAGUUUUCGAGUUAUUGCCGUUUCAAAUGUGAAAAAUAAGCCAAAAUCUCGCAAAAUUCCUGGGUACUAGUCUGAAAACACGCAUUCAACAGCUCAUAACAGGCCUUAAAAUAUCGGUCGGUCACGGACAUUGUCCGACCCAUUCGUGAAAUUGUCCGACGUAGAAAAGAAACCACCGGACAUUCUGUCCGACCUAAGUGAAACUGAGGUUUAUUGUUUGUCCGACCCGAGUGUGUUGGUGUCCGACCGAACUGUAGCUUUGUCCGACGUAAAUCAAAAUGUACCCUAGCCCAGGAGGCC